AGGUGCUGCAUGGCUGUCGUCAGCUCGUGUCGUGAGAUGUUGGGUUAAGUCCCGCAACGAGCGCAACCCUUGUCAUUAGUUGCCAUCAUUUAGUUGGGCACUCUAAUGAGACUGCCGGUGACAAACCGGAGGAAGGUGGGGAUGACGUCAAGUCCUCAUGGCCCUUAUGGGUAGGGCUUCACACGUCAUACAAUGGUCGGUACAGAGGGUUGCCAAGCCGCGAGGUGGAGCCAAUCCCAGAAAGCCGAUCGUAGUCCGGAUCGGAGUCUGCAACUCGACUCCGUGAAGUCGGAAUCGCUAGUAAUCGUGGAUCAGCAUGCCACGGUGAAUACGUUCCCGGGUCUU
rnacentral:rRNA from 1 species